GGUGGCAGGGCUAUAACCAGCACAGACAGGCAUGGUCCAGGCAUCUCUGGGUGAGUAUCUCUUUGAGCACCUCACUCUCAAGCAUGACUAAGAGGCCUCUGUGCCUUCC
rnacentral:pre_miRNA from 14 species